rnacentral:rRNA from 1 species
GAUGAACGCUGACAGAAUGCUUAACACAUGCAAGUCAACUUGAACUUCGGUUUGGGUGGCGGACGGGUGAGUAACGCGUAAAGAACUUGCCUCACAGCUAGGGACAACAUUUGGAAACGAAUGCUAAUACCUGAUAUUAUGAUUAUAUGGCAUCGUAUAAUUAUGAAAGCUAUAUGCGCUGUGAGAGAGCUUUGCGUCCCAUUAGCUAGUUGGAGAGGUAACAGCUCACCAAGGCGAUGAUGGGUAGCCGGCCUGAGAGGGUGAUCGGCCACAAGGGGACGGAGACCCGGCCCUUACUCCUUCGGGAGGCAGCCGUGGGGAAUAUUGGACAAUGGACCGAGAGUCUGAUCCAGCCAUUCUGUGUGCACGAUGAAGUUUUUCGGAAUGUAAAGUGCUUUCAGUUGGGAAGAAAAAAAUGACGGUACCAACAGAAGAAGUGACGGCUAAAUACGUG